AUCUAGCUGAUGAGUCCCAAAUAGAACGAAACACGCGUCUUGGAU
rnacentral:hammerhead_ribozyme from 1 species